GGAGUAGCUCAGUUGGCUAGAGCAUCAGCCUUCCAAGCUGAGGGUCGCGGGUUCGAGUCCCGUUUCCCGCUCCA
rnacentral:tRNA from 1 species